rnacentral:rRNA from 1 species
UACGUAGGGUGCGAGCGUUAAUCGGAAUUACUGGGCGUAAAGCGUGCGCAGGCGGCUUUGCAAGACAGAUGUGAAAUCCCCGGGCUCAACCUGGGAACUGCAUUUGUGACUGCAAGGCUAGAGUACGGUAGAGGGGGAUGGAAUUCCGGGUGUAGCGGUGAAAUGCGUAGAUAUCCGGAGGAACACCGGUGGCGAAGGCGGCUUCCUGGACAACUCCUGACACUGAGGCACGAAAGCUAGGGGAGCAAACAGG